AGUUCCGUUGCGCACGCGCGCUCCCGGCUGGAGGGGGUGGCUCAGUAGCCUGAGGGGCGCACGCGCAGUAGCUCUUGCCUUGAGCCACAAACAGGGAGAAAUGGCCCUCCACCCAGCUGUCUGCGUGUUUCCAAGCAUGACCGCCCUACUCCCUGGACCAUGGAAAUGGCCAGAUCUUGGGCCUCGGAGGAGUCGGACAGGGCCGGACACCUGGCCGGGUCCUUAGGAUGCAGCCUGGAGAGAGGCAGAGCAGACGGGUGCUUCUUCAGGUUCGCAGAGCUGGAAGAUGUCUGGAGGACUACAACGACUUGACCCCGGCCCACCUGCUGCGCUGAACCCUUGUCAGUCAAUUCUCAGUUCCCACUCACACGGACUUGCUAAUCACCGGCUAAUGUGGGUCCAUGGCUCCAGUGAUAGUGGAAAUUAAAAUGCGGACUUCAGCAAGAGUUUAUAUAAAAAAAGCUUUAAUUGGAAAAUAAGAGAAGAUGAAGGGGAAGGGGCAGGCUCUGACAAUAUCAAGUCAGCCCCCUAACAAAGGAAAGUGAGAAGAGAGAGGGAAAGGGCUUCAGGUUGAGGGCGGGCAGGGGGUGCAGGUCGGAGGAGGUGGAUUGCACUGGCCUGCCUGCAAAGGAAGUGGGACCCCUUUUGUGGGGCAAUGUGGUGGGCGCACGGGACUGUGGCCUCGUCCUCGCUUCAUAGCUCCAGUGGGACCCUCACGGUUUGAGGGCAAUUUUCUUCCUGUGAGGCGAUUGUCCUUGUUUGGGAGGUGGCAGCUUUGGUUUUAGUCGUGAGAUGACUGCCUCUGCUGGGGAGGUGAUCUUAUCAUGGAGUAGCUACGAGGCUCUGCCUUUCUAGGAACGCGAUUACAGGCUUAGGACGCUGUCCGGAGACUUCUAGGCGUUGCUUGUGGUGUGGAACUGGAUGUUAUAAAGGCUGAUAAUUGGAUGCUCCUGCAAAUCCUGGAAAUUAAUUACACUUAUCUGGGCAUCCUCAGUCUUGAAGAGGGAUGAGAUAGGUUAGGUAUUUUUAGGGUUAAUAACCUUUAUAAUGCAGACACUCACUAAGCAAUUAACAUGCUUCUGUGUGGAGCCAAACAAGGGUCUGUCCCAAAGUUUUAAGGCAAUAAAAGAGACAU
rnacentral:lncRNA from 1 species